rnacentral:rRNA from 1 species
CGCAAGUGCGACGGGGGGACCCCAAGUGCCACUCUUAACGGGGUGGCUUUUCUGGAGUGUAAAAAGCUCUAAGAAUAAGAGCUGGGCAAGACCGGUGCCAGCAGCCGCGGUAA